rnacentral:rRNA from 1 species
GAUGAACGCUGGCGGCGUGCCUAACACAUGCAAGUCGAGCGGGGUUUUAAAGAGCUUGCUCUUUAAAACUUAGCGGCGGACGGGUGAGUAACGCGUGAGUACCUGCCCUAUACACAGGGAUAAAUUGAGAAAUCGAUGCUAAUACGUGAUAAGCUAACAUUAGGCAUCUUGAAGUUAGAAAAGCUGAGGCGGUAUAGGAGGGGCUCGCGUUGAUUAGCUAGUUGGUGUGGUAAAAGCAUACCAAGGCGACGAUCAGUAGCCGACCUGAGAGGGUGAUCGGCCACAUUGGAACUGAGACACGGUCCACCUCCUACGGGAUCAGCAGUGGGGAAUAUUGCACAAUGGGGGGAACCCUGAUGCAGCAACGCCGCGUGAAGGAAGACUAUUUCGGGAUGUAACUUCUAUCGACAGUAAUACAUAAAUGCGGUCCUGAAUAAGAAGCACCGGUAAUACGUGC